UGAGGAAUAUUGGUCAAUGGGCGGGAGCCUGAACCAGCCAAGCCGCGUGAGGGAUGAAGGCCCUAUGGGUCGUAAACCUCUUUUGUCAGGGAACAAAAGCGAGUAUGUAUACUAGUCUGAGUGUACCUGAAGAAAAACGCAUCGGCUAACUCCGUGCCAGCAGCCGCGGUAAUACGGAGGAUGCGAGCGUUAUCCGGAUUUAUUGGGUUUAAAGGGUGCGUAGGCGGCGGUGCAAGUCAGCGGUAAAAGCCCGGGGCUCAACCCCGGCGAGCCGUUGAAACUGCAGUGCUAGAGAAGGCGAGAGGUACGCGGAAUGCGCAGUGUAGCGGUGAAAUGCUUAGAUAUUGUGCAGAACUCCGAUUGCGAAGGCAGCGUACUGGCGCCUGACUGACGCUGAGGCACGAAAGCGUGGGGAUCGAACAGGAUUAGAUACCC
rnacentral:rRNA from 1 species